UACAGAGGGUGCGAGCGUUAAUCGGAAUUACUGGGCGUAAAGGGCGCGUAGGUGGCUGUUUAAGAUGGAUGUGAAAUCCCUGGGCUUAACCUAGGAAUGGCAUACAAGACUGAAUGACUGGAGUACUGUAGAGGGUAGUGGAAUUUCCGGUGUAGCGGUGAAAUGCGUAGAGAUCGGAAGGAACACCAGUGGCGAAGGCGGCACUCUGGGACGGUACUGACGCUGAGACGCGAAAGCGUGGGGAGCAAACAGG
rnacentral:rRNA from 1 species